rnacentral:tRNA from 1 species
UCCUCGGUAGCUCAAUGGUAGAGCGUUCGGCUGUUAACCGAAAUGUUGUAGGUUCGAAUCCUACCCGAGGAGCCA